ACAUCCAGAGAAUUUAGCAGAGAUGCUUUAGUGCCUUCGGGAACUCUGAGACAGGUGCUGCAUGGCUGUCGUCAGCUCGUGUUGUGAAAGUGUUGGGUUAAGUCCCGCAACGAGCGCAACCCUUAUCCUUUGUUGCCAGCACGUAAUGGUGGGAACUCAAAGGAGACUGCCGGUGAUAAACCGGAGGAAGGUGGGGAUGACGUCAAGUCAUCAUGGCCCUUACGAGUAGGGCUACACACGUGCUACAAUGGCGCAUACAAAGAGAAGCGACCUCGCGAGAGCAAGCGGACCUCAUAAAGUGCGUCGUAGUCCGGAUUGGAGUCUGCAACUCGACUCCAUGAAGUCGGAAUCGCUAGUAAUCGUAAAUCAGAAUGUUACGGUGAAUACGUUCCCGGGCCUUGUACACACCGCCCGUCACACCAUGGGAGUGGGUUGCAAAAGAAGUAGAUAGCUUAACCUUCGGGAGGGCGUUUACCACUUUGUGAUUCAUGACUGGGGUGAAGUCGUAACAAGGUAAGCGUAGUGCU
rnacentral:rRNA from 1 species